UACGAAGGGGGCUAGCGUUGUUCGGAAUUACUGGGCGUAAAGCGCACGUAGGCGGAUAUUUAAGUCAGGGGUGAAAUCCCAGAGCUCAACUCUGGAACUGCCUUUGAUACUGGGUAUCUUGAGUAUGGAAGAGGUAAGUGGAAUUGCGAGUGUAGAGGUGAAAAUUCGUAGAUAUUCGCAGGAACACCAGUGGCGAAGGCGGCUUACUGGUCCAUAACUGACGCUGAGGUGCGAAAGCGUGGGGGAGCAAACAGGGAUUAAGAAAACCCGAGUACGUC
rnacentral:rRNA from 1 species